rnacentral:tRNA from 2 species
GAUGAAGGCCGGAUAGAGCAACGGCCUUCUAAGCCGUCGGUCGGGAGUUCGAAUCUCUCCUGGGACG